rnacentral:miRNA from 1 species
AGAGCUCAGCACGCAGGGGUGGC